GGGUUGUGAGGUUAAGCGAAUAAGCGUACACGGUGGAUGCCUAGGCAAUCAGAGGCGAUGAAGGACGUGCUAAUCUGCGAAAAGCGUCGGUAAGGUGAUAUGAACCGUUAUACCCGACGAUAUCCGAAUGGGGAAACCCAGUAUCCAAUGGAUACUAUCAUUAACUGAAUUCAUAGGUUAAUGAGGCGAACCGGGAGAACUGAAACAUCUCAGUACCCCGAGGAAAAGAAAUCAACCGAGAUUCCCCUAGUAGCGGCGAGCGAACGGGGAGCAGCCCAGAGUCU
rnacentral:rRNA from 1 species